rnacentral:rRNA from 1 species
UACGUAGGGUCCGAGCGUUGUCCGGAAUUACUGGGCGUAAAGCGCGCGCAGGCGGCUUCCCAAGCGCCACGUGAAAGCCCCGGGCUCAACCCGGGAGGGUCGCGGCGAACUGGGAGGCUUGAGGCCGGUAGAGGUGGGUGGAACUCCUGGUGGAGUGGUGAAAUGCGUAGAGAUCAGGAAGAACACCCGUGGCGAAGGCGGCCCACUGGGCCGGUGCUGACGCUGAGGCGCGAAAGCUAGGGGAGCAAACGGG